rnacentral:rRNA from 1 species
GAUGAACGCUGGCGGCGUGCCAAAUACAUGCAAGUCGAGCGAACAGAUAAGGAGCUUGCUCCUUUGACGUUAGCGGCGGACGGGUGAGUAACACGUGGAUAACCUACCUAUAAGACUGGGAUAACUUCGGGAAACCGGAGCUAAUACCGGAUAAGAUUUUGAACCGCAUGGUUCAAUAGUGAAAGACGGCCUUGCUGUCACUUAUAGAUGGAUCCGCGCCGUAUUAGCUAGUUGGUAAGGUAACGGCUUACCAAGGCAACGAUACGUAGCCGACCUGAGAGGGUGAUCGGCCACACUGGAACUGAGACACGGUCCAGACUCCUACGGGAGGCAGCAGUAGGGAAUCUUCCGCAAUGGGCGAAAGCCUGACGGAGCAACGCCGCGUGAGUGAUGAAGGUCUUCGGAUCGUAAAACUCUGUUAUCAGGGAAGAACAAACGUGUAAGUAACUGUGCACGUCUUGACGGUACCUGAUCAGAAAGCCACGGCUAACUACGUG